GGCCGGUUAGCACAAUUGGUAGUGUGUCUGACUACGAAGACCCCAGUGGUCGAGCAAAUCAGGAGGUUGCGGGUUCGAGCCCCGUGCUGGUCA
rnacentral:tRNA from 1 species